GACAGAGGUGCCAGGCGUUAGGCGGAAUCACUGGGCUUAAAGCGUGUGUAGGCGGAUGCCUAAGUACCUUGUGAAAUCCCCCGGCUCAACCGGGGAACGGCUGGGUAUACUGGGUGUCUUGGGUCAUCUAGGGGCUGCCGGAACAAAUGGUGGAGCGGUGAAAUGCGUAGAUAUCAUUUGGAACGCCAACGGCGAAAGCAGGCAGCUGGGGAUGCACCGACGCUGAGACACGAAAGCCAGGGGAGCGAACGGG
rnacentral:rRNA from 1 species